CAGUAGCCGCGGUAAUACAGAGGGUGCGAGCGUUAAUCGGAUUUACUGGGCGUAAAGCGUGCGUAGGCGGGUUUUUAAGUCAGGGGUGAAAUCCCGAGGCUCAACCUCGGAACUGCCUUUGAUACUGGAAAUCUUGAGUCCGGGAGAGGUGAGUGGAACUGCGAGUGUAGAGGUGAAAUUCGUAGAUAUUCGCAAGAACACCAGUGGCGAAGGCGGCUCACUGGCCCGGUACUGACGCUGAGGCACGAAAGCGUGGGGAGCAAACAGGAUUAGAUACCCCUGUAGUCCCUGUCUCUUAUAC
rnacentral:rRNA from 1 species